rnacentral:sRNA from 1 species
UUCUAUCAAAGUUAAACUUCCCAUAUAUAAACACAUCAAUAUACUAAUAGAGUGAUAAUCAUUGGUAAAAAUUUUAAGCCUAAGAAUUCUGAAAGAUAAACACAUUACCUUCAUUUGAGUACGCUUGUUUUGGAACCAAAAUUUUACUUGUAAAGGCUCCAAUCCUAAUUGACGUCCAAGCUCUUUCCUUUGUUUAUCAUCUGGGUGAGGGCAUUCCUUAAAAAAACUGUAAAUGAAAAUAUUUCGUGAAAAAAAUGAAUAAAUGUCUCUUAAUUAUUUAAUUCUGUCCGGCACUUGACUUACGCUUCCAUUUCUGUGAUUUGAUGCUGGGUAUGGCGAUGAUAACGCUUCUUUUUGGGUCGUGGAUUUGGAUCUCCAUCAUCACCAGAAGGUGCUUCCAUUAUAUCAGUCACCGAUUUGCUGUCGAAUUCAUCAUCCUUAAUAAGGUCCAUCUCAUUUUCUGGUGUUUUAUGGAUCAUGUCCAGCAAGGAAUGGUGGCUAUCAAACAUGUUUGGCUGAAACAUCAUGAUGUUCUUAAGUAACAAACUUAAAAUUUUCCAAUCAGCUGCAAGAAGAUGAACAAAAGAAUUAAGCGAAACAAUUUUAACAAAAGAUUAAUAUAAUUAAGAAAUAAUUAUAGUUUAAAACAAUUGACAUGAGAGACAAGCUUAAAAUUUUCCAAUCAGCUGCAAGAAGAUGAAACAAAAAAAUUAAGCGAAACAAUUUUAACAAAAAAUUAAUAUAAUUAAGAAAUAAUUAUAGUUUACAACAAUUGACAUGGCAGAACUAUACAUCAAGAAAAAAAGGAUUGCGCCAUAUGGAAUCUGGAAAUGCGAUUAGGGAAUAAAAAAAUUCUAUUAAGGCUCAGAUCUUGUGACUUUUGAGAGUGUGUAAUGUACGAAAAAAGGUGCUUUAGCGUUUAUAUCGAGAAUGAUUUCAUUGGAAGUACUUUUAUUCCCUACUUCUUUGUUUAAUCAGAUCUUGAAAUGGUUUGACUCUUGACACAAAACAGUAUAUCAUAAACACUUUUUAACAUGACAACGAAAUUAAUUUUUGUGGGAACCUGAUACUGUUCAUCAGAAUUCUGUUUAAAUUGUGAGAAAUAACAAUGUAAAAAAUGGUAUGAUAAGAGUAACUCUAUAUCUGUAUCUUGAAUUCUUCUUGCAUUCAGUGGAAUUUUAGGUUUGCAAAAUUCACUGACCUUUUUUAUAGGUUUUCAGACUCGCCUGAAAAUUCUUGGCACGAGACUUCUUCCUAUGCCCUUGAAGCUGCACAUCUUCACCAUGAAACCCUAGAAACUUCUCUCUCUCUCUCUCUUUAUAUAUAUAUCUUUCUCCCUCUAAAUUGAGGUCUAGCUUUUUGGUUUUGAUUUUGGUUUUGGUUUUUAGAAGGUAGUGCGUUGAGGUCAACAGAUUCUGUGGCAGUGUCUGAACAAAACAAAUGGGAUGGUUACAUGUAACAACAGACUGGAAUUUACUUAAUUCUGGUUAGUGGGUUCUCAAAGAAGACUUUCUUUCA